rnacentral:rRNA from 1 species
GGGCCCGCACAAGCAGUGGAGUAUGUGGUUUAAUUCGAAGCAACGCGAAGAACCUUACCAAGCCUUGACAUCCAACUAACGAAGCAGAGAUGCAUCAGGUGCCCUUCGGGGAAAGUUGAGACAGGUGGUGCAUGGUUGUCGUCAGCUCGUGUCGUGAGAUGUUGGGUUAAGUCCCGCAACGAGCGCAACCCUUGCGGUCAGUUGCUACGUAAGAGCACUCUGGCCGGACUGCCGUUGACAAAACGGAGGAAGGCGGGGACGACGUCAAAUCAUCAUGCCCUUUAUGGCUUGGGCCACACACGUACUACAAUGGCGGCCAAACAGCGGGAAGCGACACAGCGAUGUGAAGCGGAUCCCGAAAAGCCGCCCCAGUUCGGAUUGCAGGCUGCAACCCGCCUGCAUGAAGCCGGAAUUGCUAGUAAUCGCGGAUCAGCAUGCCG